UAUGAAUUGUGUCAGCCCGCGGUAAUACGGAGGAUGCGAGCGUUAUCCGGAUUUAUUGGGUUUAAAGGGAGCGCAGACGGGAGAUUAAGUCAGUUGUGAAAGUUUGCGGCUCAACCGUAAAAUUGCAGUUGAUACUGGUUUCCUUGAGUGCAGUUGAGGCAGGCGGAAUUCGUGGUGUAGCGGUGAAAUGCUUAGAUAUCACGAAGAACCCCGAUUGCGAAGGCAGCUUGCUAAACUGUAACUGACGUUCAUGCUCGAAAGUGUGGGUAUCAAACAGG
rnacentral:rRNA from 1 species